rnacentral:ncRNA from 1 species
UAAGCGUCGUUGUGAAACGGCGUUGAACGACAGGAAGUCAGCAGAAGCCAUAGUACUUCGCAUUCUGCGAAGGAAGGGC